GUGUCAGCCGCCGCGGUAAUACAGAGAGUGCGAACGUUGUUCGGAAUUACUGGGCUUAAAGCGCACGUAGGCGGCGCCGCAAGUGUGGAGUGAAAUCCCACGGCUUACCCGUGGAACUGCUUGGCAGACUGCGGUGCUAGAGGAUGGUAGGGGAGAGCGGAACUCCUGGUGGAGCGGUGAAAUGCGUAGAUAUCAGGAGGAACACCGGUGGCGAAGGCGGCUCUCUGGUCCAUUACUGACGCUGAGGUGCGAAAGCUAGGGGAGCAAACGGGAUUAGAUACCCGGGUAGUCC
rnacentral:rRNA from 1 species